rnacentral:lncRNA from 1 species
UAAACAGGUCACAUGAACUGAUGACGUGAUUUCCCGCGCAUUUCGGCCUUUUCGUUGUCUCUUGUUUCCUCCUUCCCCGCUUCGCAUUCUAACGGUCGCCAUUUUCCAAGCCGCCUGUUUCCAGUUGCUGUUCAGUGAAGUGAUUAUUUAAAGCGUUCGGAAUGUAAUUCUCAUUUUCAACUUGCUGAAGUCAAAACAGUUUACUUACAAUUAGGCGGAGAGUAAGCAGAUUGUCAAUUUUAUCAUCAUUUCAAGACUGUAAAAUGUGGACUGUCAUCAAGAAGAAAGAUUUUGAUGAGUUUGACGCCAUCCCCCAAUCAUGGGUACUGCCAAACCACAAGGAGGCCAUGUAUCCAAUCUUGCAACCUUCUGCGAUAAGGAAAAUGGCAGAAAGAGGAGAACGAAUCGGCAAACAUGCAUACGAACUAAUUCAAAUAAUCAAGUACAAGGAUUACGACUCAUAUGAAACAGCCUAUGACAACGCCAUACGCUAUACAUCAGGGAAAACCUCCAAAUCUGCUUCUGAGGGAGAGCCCAAAGGAAGAGGGUUGCGAAAGAAAAGAAAAUCCAGAUAUCUUCAAUCUUCGGAUAGCAGUUCAAGCGAAGAAGAGGUCAGAAAGAAAAAGAAAAAGAAAGGAAAGAAACGCAUCCAACCAUCUUCCUCCAGUUCAGAAGAAAAUUCUGAAGGUGAAAUAGUGGUGCAACGAUCCAAAAAGUCAGAUGAAGCUCAGAGACACAUCCAGAGGCACUUGGAGGAAACUGAAGAUCUUUCGCUCCCUACCAUUCCUCUGUAUAAUCCAAAAUCUGCUCAAAGUUGUGACAACUUCAUGGUAGUCACACCGGGUGCGCCUGCCAACGCGGACAGUCCCCGAAAAUCGCCAAAACCAUGUUCCAAGAUCUCUCAUGAAAAAACUGCUUCUCCAGUACAAGCAAAUGUGUCGAUGCCAACAGGCCCAGCACAUCUAAAAGCCACACAGAGGAAAUUGCUUCUCCCCACAAAAGUAGUAUCGACAAUGCAAAGAGACAGCUUUUCAAAGGCAAAACCAGUCACCCUAACGCUAAAUGCAAACAGGGAAAAAAAAUCAAGCAUCCUUGUGGAUUCCGGAUGA